rnacentral:rRNA from 1 species
UACGUAGGCAGCAAGCGUUGUUCGGAGUUACUGGGCGUAAAGGGUGUGUAGGCGGUUGGAUAAGUGUGGUGUGAAAUCUCCCGGCUCAACUGGGAGGGUGCGCUACAAACUGUCUGACUAGAGUGUGGGAUGGGAAAGUGGAAUUCCUGGUGUAGCGGUGAAAUGCGCAGAUAUCAGGAGGAACACCGGUGGCGAAGGCGGGUCUCUGGGCCGAUACUGACGCUGAGGAGCGAAAGCGUGGGGAGCGAACAGG